UACGUAGGGUGCGAGCGUUAAUCGGAAUUACUGGGCGUAAAGCGUGCGCAGGCGGCUCGGCGUGUCUGAUGUGAAAGCCCCGGGCUCAACCUGGGAAUGGCAUUGGAAACUGGCGGACUAGGGUGUGGCAGAGGGGGGUGGAAUUCCACGUGUAGCAGUGAAAUGCGUAGAGAUGUGGAGGAACACCGAUGGCGAAGGCAGCCCCCUGGGCUAACACUGACGCUCAGGCACGAAAGCGUGGGGAGCAAACAGG
rnacentral:rRNA from 1 species